rnacentral:rRNA from 1 species
UUAGAGUUUGAUCCUGGCUCAGAUUGAACGCGGCGGCAUGCCUUACACAUGCAAGUCGAACGGUAACAGGUCUUCGGACGCUGACGAGUGGCGAACGGGUGAGUAAUACAUCGGAACGUGCCCAGUCGUGGGGGAUAACUACUCGAAAGAGUAGCUAAUACCGCAUACGAUCUGAGGAUGAAAGCGGGGGACCUUCGGGCCUCGCGCGAUUGGAGCGGCCGAUGGCAGAUUAGGUAGUUGGUGGGAUAAAAGCUUACCAAGCCGACGAUCUGUAGCUGGUCUGAGAGGACGACCAGCCACACUGGGACUGAGACACGGCCCAGACUCCUACGGGAGGCAGCAGUGGGGAAUUUUGGACAAUGGGCGAAAGCCUGAUCCAGCAAUGCCGCGUGCAGGAUGAAGGCCUUCGGGUUGUAAACUGCUUUUGUACGGAACGAAAAAGCUCCUUCUAAUACAGGGGGCCCUGACCGUCCGAGAGCG